rnacentral:rRNA from 1 species
UCACGAAAGUGGGCUGUACUAGAAAUCGCCGUGCCAACCGCAAGGAGGCAGGCGCUCAAGGUAUGACUCAUGAUUGGGGUG